rnacentral:rRNA from 1 species
AACUUAAGCAUAUCAAUAAGCGGAGGAAAAGAAACUAACAAGGAUUCCCCUAGUAACUGCGAGUGAAGCGGGAUGAGCUCAAAUUUAAAAUCUGGCAGUUUUACUGUCCGAGUUGUAAUUUAGAGAAGCAUUUUCUGUGCUAGACUGUGUACAAGUCUCCUGGAAUGGAGCGUCAUAGAGGGUGAGAAUCCCGUCUUUGACACAGAACUACUAGUACUCUGUGAUAUGCUCUCAAAGAGUCGAGUUGUUUGGGAAUGCAGCUCAAAAUGGGUGGUGAACUCCAUCUAAAGCUAAAUAUUGGCGAGAGACCGAUAGCGAACAAGUACCGUGAGGGAAAGAUGAAAAGCACUUUGGAAAGAGAGUGAAACAGUACGUGAAAUUGCUAAAAGGGAAACACUUGAAGUCAGUCGCAUUAGCUAGAAUUCAGCCUCUGUGGUGUACUUUCUAGUUUUAAUGGGCCAGCAUCACUUUUUGAUCAUUGGAAAAAAGCUUAGGAAAUGUGGCACUUUUUAUAAAGUGUGUUAUAGUCCUUUGUUAAAUACAGUGGUUAAGAGUGAGGAAUGCCAUUUUGUAGGAUGCUGGCAUAAUGGCUUUAAAUGACCCGUCU